AUACGUAGGUGACAAGCGUUAUCCGGAUUUACUGGGCGUAAAGGGCGUGUAGGCGGUCUUGCAAGUCAGAAGUGAAAUUCCUGAGCUCAACUCGGGCGCUGCUUCUGAAACUGCAGGACUUGAGUGCUGGAGGGGAUAGCGGAAUUCCUAGUGGAGCGGUAAAAUGCGCAGAUAUUAGGAAGAACACCGGUGGCGAAGGCGGCUAUCUGGACAGUAACUGACGCUGAGGCGCGAAAGCGUGGGGAGCAAACAGGAUUAGAUACCCUGGUAGUCCACGCCGUAAUCGAUGAAUACUAGGAGUAGGGGGUAUCGACUCCCUCUGUGCCGCAGUUAACACAAUAAGUAUUCCGCCUGGGGAGUACGGCCGCAAGGUUGAAACUUAAAGGAAUUGACGGGG
rnacentral:rRNA from 1 species